rnacentral:rRNA from 1 species
UACAGAGGGUGCAAGCGUUAAUCGGAAUUACUGGGCGUAAAGCGUGCGUAGACGGUUGCGUAAGUCAGAUGUGAAAGCCCCGGGCUCAACCUGGGAAUUGCAUUUGAGACUGCGUAGCUAGGGUGCGGAAGAGGGAAGCGGAAUUUCCGGUGUAGCGGUGAAAUGCGUAGAUAUCGGAAGGAACACCGGUGGCGAAGGCGGCAUCCUGGACCGAGAUUGACGCUGAGGCGCGAAAGCUAGGGGAGCAAACGGG